CUUCCGUAGGUGAACCUGCGGAAGGAUCAUUAAUGAAUUCACUAUGGAGUUGUUGCUGGCCUCUAGGGGCAUGUGCACGCUUCACUAGUCUUUCAACCACCUGUGAACUUUUGAUAGAUCUGUGAAGUCGUCCUUCAAGUCGUCAGACUUGGUUUGCUGGGAUUUAAACGUCUCGGUGUGACAACGCAGUCUAUUUACUUAACACACCCCAAAUGUAUGUCUACGAAUGUCAUUUAAUGGGCCUUGUGCCUAUAAACCAUAAUACAACUUUCAACAACGGAUCUCUUGGCUCUCGCAUCGAUGAAGAACGCAGCGAAAUGCGAUAAGUAAUGUGAAUUGCAGAAUUCAGUGAAUCAUCGAAUCUUUGAACGCACCUUGCGCCCCUUGGUAUUCCGAGGGGCAUGCCUGUUUGAGUGUCAUUAAAUUCUCAAACUCACAUUUAUUUGUGAUGUUUGGAUUGUUGGGGGUUGCUGGCUGUAACAAGUCGGCUCCUCUUAAAUGCAUUAGCAGGACUUCUCAUUGCCUCUGCGCAUGAUGUGAUAAUUAUCACUCAUCAAUAGCACGCAUGAAUAGAGUCCAGCUCUCUAAUCGUCCGCAAGGACAAUUUGACCUUCCGUAGGUGAACCUGCGGAAGGAUCAUUAAUGAAUUCACUAUGGAGUUGUUGCUGGCCUCUAGGGGCAUGUGCACGCUUCACUAGUCUUUCAACCACCUGUGAACUUUUGAUAGAUCUGUGAAGUCGUCCUUCAAGUCGUCAGACUUGGUUUGCUGGGAUUUAAACGUCUCGGUGUGACAACGCAGUCUAUUUACUUAACACACCCCAAAUGUAUGUCUACGAAUGUCAUUUAAUGGGCCUUGUGCCUAUAAACCAUAAUACAACUUUCAACAACGGAUCUCUUGGCUCUCGCAUCGAUGAAGAACGCAGCGAAAUGCGAUAAGUAAUGUGAAUUGCAGAAUUCAGUGAAUCAUCGAAUCUUUGAACGCACCUUGCGCCCCUUGGUAUUCCGAGGGGCAUGCCUGUUUGAGUGUCAUUAAAUUCUCAAACUCACAUUUAUUUGUGAUGUUUGGAUUGUUGGGGGUUGCUGGCUGUAACAAGUCGGCUCCUCUUAAAUGCAUUAGCAGGACUUCUCAUUGCCUCUGCGCAUGAUGUGAUAAUUAUCACUCAUCAAUAGCACGCAUGAAUAGAGUCCAGCUCUCUAAUCGUCCGCAAGGACAAUUUGACAAUUGACCUCAAAUCAGG
rnacentral:misc_RNA from 1 species